rnacentral:rRNA from 1 species
GAUGAACGCUGGCGGCGUGCCUAAUACAUGCAAGUCGAGCGAACAGACGAGGAGCUUGCUCCUCUGACGUUAGCGGCGGACGGGUGAGUAACACGUGGAUAACCUACCUAUAAGACUGGGAUAACUUCGGGAAACCGGAGCUAAUACCGGAUAAUAUAUUGAACCGCAUGGUUCAAUAGUGAAAGACGGUUUUGCUGUCACUUAUAGAUGGAUCCGCGCCGCAUUAGCUAGUUGGUAAGGUAACGGCUUACCAAGGCAACGAUGCGUAGCCGACCUGAGAGGGUGAUCGGCCACACUGGAACUGAGACACGGUCCAGACUCCUACGGGAGGCAGCAGUAGGGAAUCUUCCGCAAUGGGCGAAAGCCUGACGGAGCAACGCCGCGUGAGUGAUGAAGGUCUGCGGAUCGUAAAACGCUGUUAUUAGGGAAGAACAAAUGUGUAAGUAACUAUGCACGUCUGGACGGUACCGAAACAGAAAGCCACGGCUAACUACGU